rnacentral:rRNA from 1 species
AUUGAACGCUGGCGGCAUGCUUUACACAUGCAAGUCGAACGGCAGCGGGGAGGAGCUUGCUUCUCUGCCGGCGAGUGGCGAACGGGUGAGUAAUACAUCGGAACGUGUCGAGAAGAGGGGGAUAACCACCCGAAAGGGUGGCUAAUACCGCAUAAAUUCUGAGGAAGAAAGCUGGGGACCUAGGAAUAGGCCUAGCGCUUUUUGAGCGGCCGAUGUCGGAUUAGCUAGUUGGUGAGGUAAAGGCUCACCAAGGCGAAGAUCUGUAGCGGGUCUGAGAGGAUGAUCCGCCACACUGGGACUGAGACACGGCCCAGACUCCUACGGGAGGCAGCAGUGGGGAAUUUUGGACAAUGGGGGCAACCCUGAUCCAGCCAUGCCGCGUGUAUGAAGAAGGCCUUAGGGUUGUAAAGUACUUUUGUUAGGGAAGAAAAGUAAGCUGUGAAUAAUGGCUGAUACUGACGGUACCUAAAGAAUAAGCACCGGCUAACUACGUG